rnacentral:rRNA from 1 species
CGUGUAGGCGGUUUGACAAGCGGGAUGUGAAAGCCCUCGGCUUAACCGGGGAAGUGCAUUCCGAACUGUUAGACUUGAGUCCGGGAGAGGGUGGUAGAAUUCCUGGUGGAACGGUGAAAUGUGUAGAUAUCAGGAGGAAUACCCGUGGCGAAGGCGGCCACCUGGCCCGGUACUGACGCUGAAAUGCGAAAGCGUGGGGAGCAAACA